AUUGAACGCUGGCGGCAGGCCUAACACAUGCAAGUCGAGCGGAUGAAGGGAGCUUGCUCCUGGAUUCAGCGGCGGACGGGUGAGUAAUGCCUAGGAAUCUGCCUGGUAGUGGGGGAUAACGUCCGGAAACGGGUGCUAAUACCGCAUACGUCCUGAGGGAGCAAGUGGGGGAUCUUCGGACCUCACGCUAUCAGAUGAGCCUAGGUCGGAUUCGCUAGUUGGUGGGGUAAAGGCCUACCAAGGCGACGAUCCGUAACUGGCCUGAGAGGAUGACCAGUCACACUGGAACUGAGACACGGUCCAGACUCCUACGGGAGGCAGCAGUGGGGAAUAUUGGACGAUGGGCGAAAGCCUGAUCCAGCCAUGCCGCGUGUGUGAAGAAGGUCUUCGGAUUGUAAAGCACUUUAAGUUGGGAGGAAGGGCAGUAAGUUAAUACCUUGCUGUUUUGACGUUACCAACAGAAUAAGCACCGGCUAACUUCGUG
rnacentral:rRNA from 1 species